AUUCCAGCUCCAGUAGCGUAUAUUAAAGUUGUUGCAGUUAAAAAGCUCGUAGUUGGAUUUCUGAUAGUAGCGUUGGGCCCGCCCGGGUUACCGGUGUGAGUGCCUGUUCGCUCCUUUCAUCCUUCUAGAGAACGGUUCUCUCCUUCAUUGGCAGUGGGAUCGCAAUCUAGAUCUUUUACUUUGAAAAAAUUAGAGUGUUUAAAGCAGGCUUGUGCUAUGAAUACAUUAGCAUGGAAUAAUAAUUUAGGACUUUAGUUCUAUUUUGUUGGUUCCUAGAACUGAAGUAAUGAUUGAUAGGGAUAGUUGGGGGUGCUAGUAUUCCGCCGAGAGAGGUGAAAUUCUCAGACCAGCGGAAGACGAACCACUGCGAAAGCAUUUGCCAGGGAUGUUUUCAUUG
rnacentral:rRNA from 1 species